UACGGAGGAUGCAAGCGUUAUCCGGAAUGAUUGGGCGUAAAGCGUCCGCAGGCGGCUAUGUAAGUCUGCUGUUAAAGAGUGAGGCUCAACCUCAUAAAAGCAGUGGAAACUACAUGGCUAGAGUGCGUUCGGGGCAGAGGGAAUUCCUGGUGUAGCGGUGAAAUGCGUAGAGAUCAGGAAGAACACCGGUGGCGAAAGCGCUCUGCUAGGCCGCAACUGACACUGAGGGACGAAAGCUAGGGGAGCGAAUGGG
rnacentral:rRNA from 1 species